UAACAUUCAAAGGAAUCCUCAUUUUCUUUUGUGCGACGAUAUCUAACGUUUCUCAGCGGACCUUAAGAGGAGACGGCUGGACACACAAAGAAACAGCCAGACAUGGGCGGAUCAGAAUCUAAGGAGCACCCUUCCUGCUCUCCAUUGCUGCAAGAACCAUGGAGGAUACUGGAUUGGAGCAAAAGGAAUGAGAUGAAAGACCAUUUGAGGAGCAUGGAAAUCAGCAAUGACGAUGUUAAGCAUCUCCGUAUCCUGGUUCAUGGUUCA